rnacentral:rRNA from 1 species
UACGGAGGGUGCAAGCGUUAAUCGGAAUUACUGGGCGUAAAGCGUGCGCAGGCGGUUGUGCAAGACAGAUGUGAAAUCCCCGGGCUUAACCUGGGAAUUGCAUUUGUGACUGCACGGCUAGAGUGUGUCAGAGGGGGGUAGAAUUCCACGUGUAGCAGUGAAAUGCGUAGAUAUGUGGAGGAAUACCGAUGGCGAAGGCAGCCCCCUGGGACAACACUGACGCUCAUGCACGAAAGCGUGGGGAGCAAACAGG